GACGAACGCUGGCGGCGUGCUUAACACAUGCAAGUCGAACGGAAAGGCCCUGCUUGCAGGGUACUCGAGUGGCGAACGGGUGAGUAACACGUGGGUGAUCUGCCCUGCACUUCGGGAUAAGCCUGGGAAACUGGGUCUAAUACCGGAUAGGAGCCAUUUUUAGUGUGAUGGUUGGAAAGUUUUUUCGGUGUAGGAUGAGCUCGCGGCCUAUCAGCUUGUUGGUGGGGUAAUGGCCUACCAAGGCGGCGACGGGUAGCCGGCCUGAGAGGGUGGACGGCCACAUUGGGACUGAGAUACGGCCCAGACUCCUACGGGAGGCAGCAGUGGGGAAUAUUGCACAAUGGGCGCAAGCCUGAUGCAGCGACGCCGCGUGGGGGAUGACGGCCUUCGGGUUGUAAACUCCUUUCGCUAGGGACGAAGCUUUUUGUGACGGUACCUAGAUAAGAAGCGCCGGCUAAGUACGUG
rnacentral:rRNA from 1 species